rnacentral:rRNA from 1 species
UACGUAGGGUGCAAGCGUUAAUCGGAAUUACUGGGCGUAAAGCGUGCGCAGGCGGUUUUGUAAGUCUGACGUGAAAUCCCCGGGCUCAACCUGGGAAUUGCGAUGGAGACUGCAAGGCUUGAAUCUGGCAGAGGGGGGUAGAAUUCCACGUGUAGCAGUGAAAUGCGUAGAGAUGUGGAGGAACACCCAUGGCGAAGGCAGCCCCCUGGGUCAAGAUUGACGCUCAUGCACGAAAGCGUGGGGAGCAAACAGG